CCACGGGUGAGUAACACGUAUCCAACCUGCCGUCUACUCUUGGCCAGCCUUCUGAAAGGAAGGAAUUAAUCCAGGAUGGCAUCAUGAGUUCACAUGUCCGCAUGAUUAAAGGUAUUUUCCGGUAGACGAUGGGGAUGCGUUCCAUUAGAUAGUAGGCGGGGUAACGGCCCACCUAGUCAACGAUGGAUAGGGGUUCUGAGAGGAAGGUCCCCCACAUUGGAACUGAGACACGGCCCAA
rnacentral:rRNA from 1 species